rnacentral:rRNA from 1 species
CCUACGGGUGGCAGCAGUAGGGAAUCUUCGGCAAUGGACGAAAGUCUGACCGAGCAACGCCGCGUGAGUGAAGAAGGUUUUCGGAUCGUAAAACUCUGUUGUUAGAGACGAACAAGUAGGAGAGUAACUGCUCUUAGCUUGACGGUAUCUAACCAGAAAGCCACGGCUAACUGCGUGCCAGCAGCCGCGGUAAUACGUAGGUGGCAAGCGUUGUCCGGAUUUAUUGGGCGUAAAGCGAGCGCAGGCGGUCUUUUAAGUCUGAUGUGAAAGCCCUCGGCUCAACCGAGGAAGGUCAUUGGAAACUGGAGGACUUGAGUGCAGAAGAGGAGAGUGGAAUUCCAUGUGUAGCGGUGAAAUGCGUAGAUAUAUGGAGGAACACCAGUGGCGAAGGCGUCUCUCAGGUCUGUAACUGACGCUGAGGCUCGAAAGCGUGGGG